GACGAACGCUGGCGGCGUGCCUAAUACAUGCAAGUCGAGCGAUGAAGCUUGGUGCUUGCACCAAUUUGAAGAGCAGCGAACGGGUGAGUAACGCGUGGGGAAUCUGCCUUUGAGCGGGGGACAACAUUUGGAAACGAAUGCUAAUACCGCAUAACAACUUUAAACAUAAGUUUUAAGUUUGAAAGAUGCAAUUGCAUCACUCAAAGAUGAUCCCGCGUUGUAUUAGCUAGUUGGUGAGGUAAAGGCUCACCAAGGCGAUGAUACAUAGCCGACCGGAGAGGGUGGUCGGCCGCAUUGGGACUGAGACACGGCCCAAACUACUUCGGGAGGCAGCAGUAGGGAAUGUUCGGCAAUAGACGAGAGUCUGGCCGAGCAACGCCGCGUGAGAGGAGAAGGUUUUCGGAUCGUAAAAAUCGGUUGGUAGAGGAGAACGUUGGUGAGAGUGGAAAGCUCAUCAAGUGACGGUAACUGCACAGAAAGGGACGGCUAACUACGUG
rnacentral:rRNA from 1 species